CCUUAUCCUCUUCGCCUUGGGCUGAUGGGUGACUUUUCUUUAAGAGGAGGAUAGCGUGGUCCUGUGUAGGGGUUGUGUACACGCCGAGGAUCGUCUCCCGGCGCUUAGCGAACGGUUCGCCGGGGAAGUUGCAUCAGGGGAAGUGAGGAAGUCAAGGUGGCUGCCGCCACUGGGUCCAACUUCACAUCCACCCCCACUUCCAGGCACGUGCAAAGAGGAGACUGGCCCCUACCCCGGAGAGGGGGCCGGAGGGUGCGAUCCGUUUCUGAUAUCUACCGCUCAGGGCUCUGACUAGGGGAAGCCGUGGUUUAUCCGGCCCGCCAGCUUCGGGAUGCUAGCCUCAGACGGCUGCGGUCCGGAGUGCAGCGAGCUCACGCGCACGGAUACACACCGCGCUCACCCAUUGGUCGCAAUCUACAGGGGCCCGCCUCUGCCAGGGCCGGGAGCCCAAUCCUAUCCCCACCUGCGGGAGCGGGUGUUUUGAGAGAUUCUUUGAUCGCCAGGCUGGAAUUUGGGGAUCUUCCAGGGAAAGGGACUAACGAGGUGAUCUGUCCAACCUGUAACCAGUCAGAGGGCCUGCUGUGCAAUAAGACUAGAGGCAGGCACUCAGCGCGCGCCUGACAACACGAGAAUCAUUUUGUUGAGCCCACACCGUGGCCCCGAACAGUGGGUCCUCCUCGGUAUUUGUUUUUAUUGGUUUCUCUUCAGACCGGGUCUCUGAAGCUCUGACUGUCCUGGAACAGUAGACCAAGCUGCUCUCGAGCUCACAGAUCUGUGUCUGCCUUAGUGCUGGGAGUAAGGGCGCCGCCACCACCACACCCAGCUCCUUGGUCUUUUUAAAGGGGAAGUAAAUGGCCAUGCUUAGCCAGUAGGUGGUGGAGCUAGGAACUGAGAACAGAAUGGGUGGCUGCCCCAGCGUUUCAUUUUAAAAGUGGCGUCACACUCCUUUGACCCCAGCACUCAAAGGCAGAGACUGGAUAGCUGUGACUUCUGUGCAACCUGACGUAGUGAGGUUUUUCUUUUCUUUUUUUCAGUUUUCAAGACGGGGGUUUCUCUAUGUGGCCCCGAACUCAGAUUUCGCCCUCCUGUGCCUCCCAAAUGCUGGCAUUAAAGGCCUGUGCCACCGUGCCCGAUUUGCACCGUGAGUUGUAGGUCAGCCAGGGUUAUACAGACCUGUUUGACAACAGUCAGGUUCCCCUAUGGGAAUUGCCCUCAGCCCCCGUUCUGCUAUUAUUCCUCACGUCUGGGGAUAUUACCUGGACUAAACUGUUUUGACAUUCAUUGCCAGACAAGGUAGGGCAGGCCCACCAGGACCAUUCAGUACUCCAAAAGCGCUGGGGGCUGGGAGAGAGAGAGAGAGAGAGAGAGAGAGAGAGAGAGAGAUUCAUUCCAGUGUCAGUAACUGAGACAGAGUGAGGACCGGCUCAACCCGUGAUGUUAUCACACGCUGUAACUAUGACACCCUUCAGGAGCACAAACUCCAGGAGCUUCCAACUGCGCACACAAGACCCCAUGGGAGGAAAAAUACUGUGGCAAGGGCGCAAGCGUCGGUACCAGGGAUUAUUGGGCCAGUGACAAGUUAGAGUGCACAGAUAUGAUUUGUUUACAGUACAUAUUUUAAAGGUUCGUUUUUAUUUUACUUACCUGUGUGUGUGGGUAAGUUACCUGCGCCCAGAGGUGGGAGAUCCCCUAGAGCUGCAGGAACAGGUGGUUGUGAGCUGGGAAGUGAACGCAGGUUUUCUGCCAGAGCAAUAAGGGGUUUUAACUCCAGAGCCAUCUCUCCUCUUUACAAUGUAAAUUCCAGAACUCACGAGGCUGAAGCAGAUAAGACUGAGUUCCAGGCCAGCAAGGGCUACACAUUUAUUAAUUUCUCUAAAUUAAUAAAAUAAAAUAAAAUAAAUGUUAUUAAGCAAAUAUUUUAGUAGAGAAGAAGGGAAAUACAAAGUCAGCUUGGAGCUGGAGAUUGGCAUUGGAACAUUCCUGUGGGCACCAUGACAUUUUUUUUUUUCAAGACAGGUUUUCUCUGUGUAACCUUGGCUAUCCUGGACUCACUUUGCAGACCAGGCUGGCCUCAAAUUCAGUGAUCUGCCUGCCUCUGCCUCCCGAGUGCUGGAAUUACAGGCACUGGUGUAAUCUCAGGUGACGGUUUUUAAACUGAAAAAAGAAAGCAAAAAAAAAAAAAAAAGUUCAACCCAUUUAUCGAUUGUCAGUAAACAAGUGGACCUUAGCAAGAAUUUAUAGAAACGGAGGGCAACUCAUUCAGUCCUUUAAGUCCUUUUAUCAAGUGGUCUGGGUCCAUUAAUUCAGAUAAGACCGUACAUAUGGAGAGGGCAGAGCUGGAAAUGCAAAUGCAUCCUGGGAAAGCAGCCCCUAGAUCAUUGCGGGUUCUCUGGGUGCCUCUGUCCCACAAUGCACCUGGCCAGCUAACUCUGCUGACCCGGAGGGGUGUUGGAUACCUAUUGCCCCUCACCCACACUCCUGAAAAACUGUCACUGCUAUUGAAAUGAAUAUAAUCUAGAGUUGAGCAGAAUGUCUGUUUCACCCACCAUUCCGUGCUCUUUUUUUUUUUUUUAGACAACAACAACAAAAAGCCCUGGAGGCCCUCAUUACCAGAAAAGAAUUGCCUUCAGCUGAUCACACGAGGCUGUUUUUAUUCUAUUUCUCUAACUAGGAAACUGGUUCCCUUUAGAGCAGAGAUCACCUCUCAUUGGAGGCCCUAGGCAUAAUAGAACUUCCAAUUGGCAAUUGCUAGAAUUGGCAUUCUGACUUGGAUUAGGCAUUUGUUUCAUCAUAAGAGAGCAAAUUUUCCCAAUAGUUAUGAACAGAAAGAAAAUUAUUAGUCUCUUUAGACUUGUAUAGAGUGAUAAAAAUUUCAAAAUAACAAAAAAAUUAAGGAUUGAAUAGAAACUCAUGAUACAAGAAUCAUAGUCAACAAAUAAUUGACAAACAUUUGACUUUAUUAAUUAUUUGAAAAGUAUCAGUGAAUGUAGUCUGUUACUUUUAAAAACCUGACAAUAUUCAAUUUUGGGGAAAAUGAUGAGUUUUCUGGUGUUUUUUUUUUUUUAAUCUACUUGCCUCUGCCUCCCAAGCAUUGGGAUUAAAGGUAUGUUCCACCGCACCUUUUUGAAGAUUUAUUUCUAUUGUGUGUGUGUAUGUGUGUGUGUGUGUAGGCCCACCUGUGAAAGUCAGAAGACGACAUGUGAGAGCUGGCUUUUUCCUUCGACCAUGUGGGUCCUGGAAAUCAGACUCAGGUCACUAGGGGUCAGCAGGACAUGCCAUUAUCCACUGAGCCUUCUUGCCAGCCCAUCUGAAAGAGUCAUAAGCGAUUUUUUUCUUCAUGGUGCUGGAGAAUCAAAUCUAGGGCGUCCUCUACCCUAGACAAGUACCCUACCGAUGAGCUACUCCCCAGCCCAUUGGACAAUAUAUUUUCUGAAAUCCUCACGCAAGCAUAUGCAAUAAACACUGCAGAACUAUACAGUAUAUACCAUAGCCAUGUCAUAGAUCUAGGGCCUUUUUGUUUGUUUAUUUGUUUGUUUUGUUUUCCUAGAGGGUUUUCUCUGUGUAGCCCUGGCUGUCCUAGAACUCACUUUGUAGACCAGACUGACAGAGAUCUGCCUCCCUCUGCCUCCCUGAGUGCUGGGAUCACAAAAAAGCCCAGCUGAAGAUUAUUUCAUGGAUGGAGAGAUACUCAGCAGUUCAGAGCACUGGCAUUCUCCCAGGACACCUGAGCUUGAUUCCCAGCGCCCACAUGGCAGCUCCACAAACAUCUGUCACUCCAGUUCCAAGGGAUUCAGUACCCUCUCCAGCCUCCUCAGGCUCCAGGCACAUGCAUGGUACAUAGACAUACAUGCAGGCAAAAUAUCUGUACACAUAACAUUAAAAAAAAAAAAACAGUGUUUCCAGGAGAUGCAUGGAGAUGGCUUUCAGGCAGGUGGUCAGGCCCUUUGACAAUGGCAGCCAAUCAUAUCGGGGGUGGGGGGAACAGGGGUAUGGCAAAGAUUCAGUAGCCCACAAAACAAAGAAAAAUUUCUUCUCCACUUACAGACGUCACAGGAGAUCUUUGAGCUCAGAGCCCUGAGCUUAGCACAUUGCUGAAGUACCCUCAGAGGCCAGAAAGGAGCACCAAAUCCCCUGGAAGUGGAGUUGUGGACUGCUGUGAGCCUCCGUGUGGGUGCCGAGAAUGGAACCAAGGUCUUGCACAAAGCAACAAGUGCUCUUAACUACCGAGCCAUCUCUCCAGCCCGAAGGUCACAACUUAAGAAGCUAAUUCUGGACCAGGUUUCCAGGUUCUCCAGUGCUUGGGUUAUAGGAAUGAUCUACCACCUCUGGCUCGGAAUAAGAAAACAACGAGAAAGCAAGCCAAAUAAUGGCAGAAGGGUCAUGGAGCGCGGACGCCGAGGACUAAGGAACACAGCAUGUGUUUGGGGGUGGAGGGCCAUAAUGAAAAUGUUUUAAA